GAUUGAACGCUGGCGGUAUGCUUAACACAUGCAAGUCGAACGGAAACGAUACUAGCUUGCUAGUAGGCGUCGAGUGGCGGACGGGUGAGUAACGCGUAGGAAUCUGCCUGAUAGUGGGGGAUAGCCCGAAGAAAUUCGGAUUAAUACCGCAUAAUCUAUUCGUAGUAAAGUGGGGGACUUUCGAGCCUCACGCUAUCAGAUGAGCCUGCGUAAGAUUAGCUAGUUGGUAGGGUAAAAGCCUACCAAGGCGACGAUCUUUAGCUGGUCUGAGAGGAUGAUCAGCCACAUCGGGACUGAGACACGGCCCGAACUCCUACGGGAGGCAGCAGUGGGGAAUAUUGGACAAUGGGGGCAACCCUGAUCCAGCAAUACCGCGUGUGUGAAGAAGGCCUGAGGGUUGUAAAGCACUUUCAAUUGUGAAGAAAAGUUAGCGGUUAAUAACCGUUAGCCUUGACGUUAACUUUAGAAGAAGCACCGGCUAACUCCGUGCCAGCAGCCGCGGUAAUACGGAGGGUGCAAGCGUUAAUCGGAAUUACUGGGCGUAAAGCGUGCGUAGGCGGUUUAUUAAGUCAGAUGUGAAAGCCCCGGGCUUAACCUGGGAACUGCAUUUGAAACUGGUCAACUAGAGUAUGGUAGAGGAAAGUGGAAUUUCUGGUGUAGCGGUGAAAUGCGUAGAUAUCAGAAGGAACAUCAAUGGCGAAAGGCAGCUUUCUGGACCAAUACUGACGCUGAGGUACGAAAGCGUGGGUAGCAAACAGGAUUAGAUACCCUGGUAGUCCACGCCGUAAACGAUGAUAACUAGCCGUUGGGGGGAUUUACCCUUUAGUGGCGAAGCUAACGCGUUAAGUUAUCCGCCUGGGGAGUACGGCCGCAAGGUUAAAACUCAAAGGAAUUGACGGGGACCCGCACAAGCGGUGGAGCAUGUGGUUUAAUUCGAUGCAACGCGAAGAACCUUACCUGGUCUUGACAUCCUGCGAACUUUCUAGAAAUAGAUUGGUGCCUUCGGGAACGCAGUGACAGGUGCUGCAUGGCUGUCGUCAGCUCGUGUCGUGAGAUGUUGGGUUAAGUCCCGUAACGAGCGCAACCCCUAUCCUUAUUUGCCAGCACAUCAUGGUGGGAACUAUAAGGAGACUGCCGGUGAUAAACCGGAGGAAGGCGGGGACGACGUCAAGUCAUCAUGGCCCUUACGACCAGGGCUACACACGUGCUACAAUGGGAAGGACAAAGAGCCGCGAAGCCGCGAGGUGUAGCUAAUCUCAUAAACCUUUUCGUAGUCCGGAUUGGAGUCUGCAACUCGACUCCAUGAAGUCGGAAUCGCUAGUAAUCGUAGAUCAGAAUGCUACGGUGAAUACGUUCCCGGGUCUUGUACACACCGCCC
rnacentral:rRNA from 1 species